CUGGCUCAGGAUGAACGCUAGCGACAGGCUUAACACAUGCAAGUCGAGGGGCAGCACGGGAGUAGCAAUACAACUGGUGGCGACCGGCGCACGGGUGAGUAACGCGUAUGCAACCUACCUAUCAGAGGGGAAUAACCCGGCGAAAGUCGGACUAAUACCGCAUAAAACAGGGGCACCGCAUGGUGAUAUUUGUUAAAGAAAUUCGCUGAUAGAUGGGCAUGCGUUCCAUUAGGUAGUUGGUGAGGUAACGGCUCACCAAGCCGACGAUGGAUAGGGGAACUGAGAGGUUGGUCCCCCACACUGGUACUGAGACACGGACCAGACUCCUACGGGAGGCAGCAGUGAGGAAUAUUGGUCAAUGGGCGAGAGCCUGAACCAGCCAAGUCGCGUGAAGGAAAAGAAGGAUCUAUGGUUCGUAAACUUCUUUUGCAGGGGAAUAAAGUGCAGGACGUGUCCUGUUUUGUAUGUACCCUGAGAAUAAGGAUCGGCUAACUCCGUGCCAGCAGCUGC
rnacentral:rRNA from 1 species